UCCUACGGGAGGCAGCAGUGAGGAAUAUUGCGCAAUGGGGGCAACCCUGACGCAGCAACGCCGCGUGAGUGAGGAAGGUUUUCGGAUUGUAAAGCUCUGUCGAGCGGAAAGAAAUGCGCGAUGGCUAAUAUCCAUCAUGCUUGACGGUACCGCUAGAGGAAGCACCGGCUAACUCCGUGCCAGCAGCCGCGGUAAUACGGGGGGUGCAAGCGUUGUUCGGAAUCAUUGGGCGUAAAGAGCGUGUAGGCGGCUGGACAAGUCAGAUGUGAAAUCCCUGGGCUUAACCCAGGAAGUGCAUUUGAAACUGUCUAGCUGGAGUAAGGGAGAGGAAAGUGGAAUUCCUGGUGUAGAGGUGAAAUUCGUAGAUAUCAGGAGGAACACCGGUGGCGAAGGCGACUUUCUGGCCCUAUACUGACGCUGAGACGCGAAAGCGUGGGUAGCAAACAGGAUUAGAUACCCUGGUAGUCACGCUGUAAACGAUGUUCACUAGGUGUUGGGGGUAUUGACCCUUUCAGUGCCGCAGCUAACGCAUUAAGUGAACCGCCUGGGGAGUACGGUCGCAAGAUUAAAACUCAAAGGAAUUGACGGAAUCUG
rnacentral:rRNA from 1 species